rnacentral:rRNA from 1 species
UUUGGUUAAGUUAGAAAGGGCGCACGGUGGAUGCCUUGACACUAGGAGUCGAUGAAGGACGGGACUAACGCCGAUAUGCUUCGGGGAGCUGUAAGUAAGCUUUGAUCCGAAGAUUUCCGAAUGGGGAAACCCACCAUACGUAAUGGUAUGGUAUCCUUAUCUGAAUACAUAGGGUAAGGAAGACAGACCCAGGG